UUGAGUGUUCUGCCUGGUGCUCUGUUCCCUGGAUUUUUCUGGUUUGUUCCCCCAUUUAGGAUUACUCUGUCUUUGUGUUGGAUUUACCUUCUUCUGGAUUACCUUUGUUUGGACCCUUGCUGCGAGCUUCCACGUAAGCCUGUUUAGUUAUUUGAAUAAACUUUAUUUUGAACUGCAUUCUCCUCUCGCCUUGCUGUUGUCUGCAUUUGGGUCCACACUCCUCAGUUCCCUGUGACUUCACUCAGCCAACCCAUGACACAAGCUAGAUAAAAGAAACCGAACUGGCGGUCCCAUCGGUGCAAGCCCAACUUCGUCGCUGCCGGGGAGUCUGGAGAACGGCAAGUGCCACGCUGCUGUGCACCUCCGCCCACAACUAACGGGUCACAGACUGUCGCCGGACACCGGCCCCCACCUGCUCCCCAGGUCCCUAUGUUAUUGACAAAUCAUCAACCCAUCUGCUGCAAGGUUAAAGCUUCCCAGGAACAUGAGGAUCCAUCCCGCUUUCCAUGUGUCCCAAAUCAAAGGUCAGAGGACAAGGACAGAGUUUUCAAGGGAACCUUUUUAUAACAACUCUGUAGCCUAUAUGGCACUGAGAAAAGUAGAACCACACCUUACCAUCUACAUGGCAACAGACAAUGUGAAUGAUUCAAUCAGUCACUGCAUGACUUUCUAUGUACUCUUCCCCCUGAAUAUAAAAGAAAGUGGCCACAAUUACCCCAGGUUCUAUAUGCCUAUAAUACCACCGAGCAUCAAUCUACAGGCUACUCCCCUUACAAGCUGAUGAUUGGGCAGAAGCCUCAUUUGCCGGUUGACUUUCUGCUGGGUGUCUCUCCAGAGAGCCAGGUGUCUAAGUCAGCAUAGGACUGGAUGGACGAACAUCAGAGCCGCCUGAGUUCAGUUUACCUGCAUGCAAAGGAGCAGCUCCAGCAAGCCAUGGAACGGCGAAACAGACAUUACCAGCCAAAUGCAACGUCUCCUCUUCCUUCCGGAACUCUGGUCUACAGGAGAAGGCUUCCCAUAGGACGUCCUAAAAUACAGAUGCCCUGACUCAGCAAAUAGGAGCAGGAGCCACUGAAUUUGCCUUUGCUCAGGUAGUACAAAAGUGGCUUCGGUAUGCUCCAGACCGGAUGGGUGGGACUGGACGCCAAACACCAGAGCAGGAGUAAAGCUAAAAAAAAUGUUUUUACAUAAAUAAAGUUGCUUUUCUUAACAGA